GAGUGUGAUAUGAAAGGGUGAGAGUGGGGUUUUCUGACUGACUUCCAUUUUGUGCCGCAGUAACUAUGCCACAUAAUGACAAGAGAAUAGCAAGGGUGUUUGUCUUAUGAAAGGGUGUUUGUCUCAUGCUAGAAGAAGGAUUCUUGUUAUAGACAAGGACUCGUGUUGUUAUUUUCAGUUUGUUAUAGACAAGGACUCAUGUUGUCAUUUUCAGUUAGAUAAGAUGUUUCAGAACCCCCGGAAUGUACCCACAUAUGGAUAGAUUGUGUUUUUAGUUUUGUAUAAAGGACGGGGAAUGUUAGGGGAAUUUCGGAAUCCACCUGAGACGCUAGCAGACGUGCUGCGUGUGAAUACCGAAUUUCCCCUUGAGAUGAUCGUCCUGAGAUUCCCCGAUCCAGAGUGCUCAAGUGAUGCUACAAUAUUCACAGAUGCACAAGCCGCCAUUGCUAAGUCAUCUCAGGAGCCAGUGGCAGGAGAGACGAAGGAAUUGGAAUCAUGGUUACAGGGUACAGCCCUUUGGGCACACCAAAAGAGUGGACAUCUGGGAGAAAAGGCAACUUACAGAUUGUCGUGAGGCUCAGUCUUGGAAUCCUUGGAAUUGUUUUAUUGGUCGUCCCCUCUAGUACAUGGACACCUGGAUUGAAGAUAGAGAAACGAGAGUUGCAUACUGUACGGUGGGGAUGGAACAAUGCCACCAUACCAAGAACCCAAGAUAAUUUCACUUGUCAGGCCAAUCAGCGCUGUACUAAUAUAGUAAAUAUAACAAUCCCAGGAACGAUGUGGGCUGGACCGCCUGAUCCACAAAGAAACAGAUAUCGACCUACAUUUGCCUUACAUCAGUCAGAAGGCAAUAUCACAAUUAAUGCUGCAGUAAAUAUAAGUUGCUGCUCCAAACCUUAUAGGUUCCGAUUUCUCCCUAAAGAAGAGAAGAAUAAAGAAUAUAAGAAUUGUUCUAAACAAGGAGCAACCACAUUUCGGUUAGCUGUAAAAGACGUUUUAAUUUUGGUAUGUCAUAAUGCUACUGAAAAUAAAAAAUCGAACGUGGUGGGCACAAGAUUUAAUGUUUAUUGAUAUCAAUGCAUCACGAAUCGAUAUUGGACAUGUUAAAAGAUUACCAUCUACAUGUGAAAAUGUAGGUACACAAGCUCAAAAGACUGUGUUAGUCACACAAGUUGUUUUCCCUCCCAAUAAUAGACAAUGUAUAUCCCGGCAACGACGUGCCUGGUAUGAUACAUUGUUGGGAGGAUAUGGGACUCUAACAGGAGUAUUAAAUGGGAUAGAUAUUGAAACAUUAGCCAAUAGGAUUCAUAGCGCCGGUAGUAAAUUAAAUGACGGACUUACAUUACAAGCAAAAUGGAUGCCUACUAUUUUUGAGCCAGCCAAAAUAUCGGCUGGAAUAGAUACUUUAAUGAACCAGCUAAUUAAUGCUAGUAAUGAUUUGCUGUUGGAUUUGAUACCAACAUUACUAAAUUUAUAAAUUGGACCGUCUGUACACUACAGACUAUGUAUGAGCAACAACAAAAAGGCGUUAUGCAAACUAUGCUAAUGACCGGAAAUGAACAAGUAUGGAGAACAAUUUUUAAUACAAGUCUGUCCAGGGACGCUUGGAUACACUUGGAAGCUGCUAAAAUGAUUUGUAAUGACACCAUAUGCCAAGGUAUUUUAACUAUGUAUAAUGUAACCAAAGUUAUUCAAAUGUGUAAAUAUAUUGUAAUGCCUUUGUUGUUAGGACCAUCUGGUGGAGAAUGGUACUGGUUCCCCACUAUGAAAGGAGAAUAUAUAGAUGAGAAUAAUAGAACUCAUGAUUUGAGUAUUUGUACACCCACUUUACAAGGCAAGAUAUGUAGAGUACAAUCUGCAGUUUAUGAACCUUGCUUAUUAGAGAAUGGAGUAAAUUUAUGUAAAUGGCUAGUUUUACCUUUGUCAUAUACAAUGAUGAUGGAGGUAGCCCCACAAGAAGUAUGUUUGGUAACUGAUACACCAGCCAUACCUGGAAUGGUAGUUCCAUUUUCCGGAUGUAUUAGUAAUGUUAGUUCCUUAACCUGGGAAAAUGAGACAUUUAUAUUGUAUGCUGACCGUGAAGAACAUGUUACAAAAUAUUGGAGUCCACAAAAUUUAAGUAUUCCCCAAUGGGAUUUGAAGUUAGAUAAACUACAUACAAUUAUGAAACAAUCCAAAGUUAUUGAAGAUCAUAUCAAAUAUCUAAAUCAAUCUAUUGUAACUCAUCAAGUGACAACAACAAUAAUUGCUGAUCAAUUACAGAAAAUUGGUUCUGAUGUCCAGGAUGCAACUUCUCAUCAUUGGUGGGACUUGUUUACUGGAUAUUCUCCGUCUGCAUCCAAUAUGCUAAAUUUUCUGAUACAUCCUGUUCUCAUACUGUGUAUAAUAAUAAUAAUUUUAUCUAUUUUGAACUGUGUGGUAUUUUACCGCAUAUGUUGUAAACGACAAAAGGUUGUAAUGGCAAGUUAUGCGUUAUAAUUGGAAUCAGUCAAGGGCCGUUUGUGAUACGAGUGUGAUAUGAAAGGGUGAGAGUGGGGUUUUCUGACUGACUUCCAUUUUGUGCCGCAGUAACUAUGCCACAUAAUGACAAGAGAAUAGCAAGGGUGUUUGUCUCAUGCUAGAAGAAGGAUUCUUGUUAUAGACAAGGACUCGUGUUGUUAUUUUCAGUUUGUUAUAGACAAGGACUCAUGUUGUCAUUUUCAGUUAGAUAAGAUGUUUCAGAACCCCCGGAAUGUACCCACAUAUGGAUAGAUUGUGUUUUUAGUUUUGUAUAAAGGACGGGGAAUGUUAGGGGAAUUUCGGAAUCCACCUGAGACGCUAGCAGACGUGCUGCGUGUGAAUACCGAAUUUCCCCUUGAGACGAUCGUCCUGAGAUUCCCCGAUCCAGAGUGCUCAAGUGAUGCUACAAUAUUCGGUAAGAUAUUGAUGUAGUUUCUUGAUAUUAUACCUAUAUUUAUGAUUAUGUAUUAAUACCUGACGAAAAUACUAUAAGAACUAAUAAAUUAUUUACUAUUGAGACAUAAAAGUGUUGUUUGUUUUGCUGCAUUAAAGUGUAAGCCUGUUCUGGGCAACAGUGAGCGCAGAAUGUAUUGAGCAAUCUCACACACCC